UUGUCUUUGCUUUGGUAAAAAAAUAAAUAUAAAAUUCACAAAAAUAUUUAUAUGUUUGGUAAAAAAAUUAAAUGAAAUUUUCUGUAAAUUAAGAAAGAAUUUAACUGAAAAUACACACACAAUGCCUCGGUGGAUACCGAAAAGCAUUAGCUUUUCCGUAAUCGUGAUGUAUUUCACUUCAGAUGUUUUAGGAUAAACCACCACCAUCUUCCACCAUACCACUUACUAUACUACUAUGCCAAACCUCACAGCCCAUUUCCGCCAGAAUCAAAUCUAUGUCGCCUUGAAGUUCACGUUCUUUUUAUCGUUUUUGAGCUUCAUAAUAUUGUUGUUUUACAGCUGGUGGCUGUGUCUCAAGUUGGAUCGGCCAAGUACAUAGAUCCAGAUGUUAAAAAACGAGGACAUUUCAGUUGCGUUAUUGAAUUCAUUCUCAAAUUUUUGUGUGAACUUAUCGACGGCACAGCGGCGGUCCUACAUUCCACUAUCGAUGCUCUGGAGUACAUCAAGUUGAGUUUGAUGCAUCAGUAUUGCGAUUAUGCACAAGAUGGUGUUAACGUCUUUGCGGUGCAGGAAUAUUCGAAUGUGUCGGUGAAAUUAUCAAAGGAGAUACUAGGAAUGAAUGAGGAGUGCGGCUUGUUCUACAAACUCUCGUUUGAAAACUCUCAUACACCUUCGUCCACGUCGGAGCCCCCCGCCCCCGCCGCCCCCGACACCCCCACUACCCCUGAAACCCCUACUGGCCCCGACCCCCUUACUACCCCUGGCACCGCUGCUGGCGCCAGCACCCCCAGCACCCCUGUUUACCCCGACACCUCUGGCACUCCUGGUGACAGCAUGGUCAGUCUGCUAGAGCCUGUAGACAGUCACUACAGCGACGUAGUUUACCAUCGCAGGGUGUGACACAACGUGUACGUUCUUCAAAAUAAAUAGUUAAAUUUGAAAGCUAUUCUGUAAUAUGAAAUGGUUAUUAAAUAAAGUACUUUUAGAAAAUAAAUACAAAUAGCUAUUAUCGUUUUCA